CGGCGAGCGAAGCGGGAAGAGCUCAAAUUUAUAAUCUGGCACCUUCGGUGUCCGAGUUGUAAUCUCUAGAAGUGUUUUCCGCGUUGGACCGCACACAAGUCUGUUGGAAUACAGCGGCAUAGUGGUGAAACCCCCGUAUAUGGUGCGGACGCCCAGCGCUUUGUGAUACACUUUCAAUGAGUCGAGUUGUUUGGGAAUGCAGCUCAAAUUGGGUGGUAAAUUCCAUCUAAAGCUAAAUAUUGGCGAGAGACCGAUAGCGAACAAGUACCGUGAGGGAAAGAUGAAAAGCACUUUGGAAAGAGAGUUAACAGUACGUGAAAUUGUUGGAAGGGAAACGCUUGAAGUCAGACUUGCUUGCCGGAGCUUGCUUCGGUUUGCAGGCCAGCAUCAGUUUUCCGGGGUGGAUAAUGACGGUUUGAAGGUAGCAGUCUCGGCUGUGUUAUAGCUUUCCGUUGGAUACAUCCUGGGGGACUGAGGAACGCAGCGUGCUUUUUGCGAAAGACUCGUCUUUUUCACGCUUAGGAUGCUGGUGGAAUGGCUUUAAUCGAUCCG
rnacentral:rRNA from 1 species